AUUGAACGCUGGCGGCAGGCCUAACACAUGAAAGUCGAACGAGUGGCGGACGGGUGAGUAAUGUCUGGGAAACUGCCCGAUGGAGGGGGAUAAAUCCUGGAAACGGUAGCUAAUACCGCAUACCAUCGGAUGUGCCCAGAUGGGAUUAGCUAGUAGGUGUGGUAACGGCGCACCUAGGCGACGAUCCCUAGCUGGUCUGAGAGGAUGACCAGGCACACUGGAACUGAGACACGGUCCAGACUCCUACGGGAGGCAGCAGUGGGGAAGAUUGCACAAUGGGCGCAAGCCGGAUGCAGCCAUGCCGCGUGUAUGAAGAAGGCCUUCGGGUUGUAAAGUACUUUCAGCGAGGAGGCGUUACUCGCAGAAGAAGCACCGGCUAACUCCGUGCCAGCAGCCGCGGUAAUAC
rnacentral:rRNA from 1 species